AGUGCUUCAGGUGCUGACUAUCUAGUUUCCUUUUUCCUUCCUCUGCUGACCAUACAUUUGGAUGUUUACAUCGGUCAGUAGCUCUGUAAAACUCCGAUACUAUAUAUGUUGUAGGACUGUUUGUGGCAGCUUCCUGAUCCCUGGAUUGUAGCUACGGCGCUAUGUUCUCAAACUCAGUAUUUCAGCGGCCAUCGGAGACUGCAGCUCCCCAGGGAGGCAGCUGACAUGUUGUGAAGACACUCAGAUUUCUGCCACCAGCCAACACUGAUCUGCCAAGCGAGUAAGUGAGCCACCUUAGAAGCAAAACCUCCAACCUCGGUCAAGUGUACAGGAAACUGCAGCACGGGCUGACAUCUUGAUUGCAAUCACAUAAAAGACCCCAAACCAGGAUCAUCUGCCUAAGUCACUCCUUACCCAUAGAAACUGUGAAGAAGAAACAUCAGUUUUGGUACAACAUGAACCCUAACUCACAGGAGAUCCACCUGCUUCACUGUCCAGAGGAAGCGAAUGAACUGGAAGGCAUCAGGCCAAUUACUCAUUAAGUCUUUGCAAUCCAUUUCGAAUCCCAGUUUCCUAUUGAUAUUAUGCCUUGAAUGUCAGGGAUGACUUCCUCCUAGGCAAAAUUAAUAGCUUUUUUAUUGGUCCCCAAAUUUGCCCACGGUAUUUGAUGUCAGUGGUCACCCCAACUUGAGCACAUUCUUUUGGUUUCUGCGAUCCUGUACUUUCCUGUAAUUAACCAGGGCCAGGGCUAGGGUGAAGAAAGCAAAGUGCUCAGAAUGCAAAAUUCAAGGAGGCACUCACUCUCAGGGUCAUGCGAGUGUAAUGUGUUCACACUGAACAUGUUUUUGGCUAGUCAAGACCAACCAUAUUUACACAAUGAAAAGAAUAAAAGCAUUUUGCCUUUAUUUCACUUACUGUUUUU